GGUUUUGGAAACAAAUGUGUGACUAUGCUAGCCCACCUUUAUGGAAAUCUUACAAUCUCCCACUUGAGCUGCAUAUGUCACAAGUUUUGAUUUUAAAAAUCUUUUUAAAAUGACUCUCCGGUUUAGAAAAACUGAUUGUGGCCACAAA